rnacentral:rRNA from 1 species
ACGCUCGACACCUACGGGAGGCNGCAGUAGGGAAUCUUCCACAAUGGACGCAAGUCUGAUGGAGCAACGCCGCGUGAGUGAAGAAGGUUUUCGGAUCGUAAAGCUCUGUUGUUGGUGAAGAAGGAUAGAGGUAGUAACUGGCCUUUAUUUGACGGUAAUCAACCAGAAAGUCACGGCUAACUACGUGCUAGCAGCCGCGGUAAUCUGAGCGGGCUGGCAAGGC